CAGGUGGCACCAUUAGGUGUCGCACUCUCUCCAGCCUGUGCCUCCAUAAAGGUUAAGCUGGAAGGAUGGUGGCCAGGUGUCAAUUUCCCGUGUGUCAGACCAGCUGUGUGUUGGGCCCACGCUGUUUGCUGGCUGUGGACUGCAUUGUUGAUGGUGUUCGGCUGGCAGCGUUACCUGGGCGUGGGUGUUCGACGCCGCAGGGUUGCACCACAUUGGAUACACCAAGAUUUGAUUUGAAAGUGUUGAUUUAUGCAAUGCAGGUAGGCAGUGUUUUAGUGUGUUCUAGGUUGAUUUGAUUAAAAUGAUUUAAUGCGCAUUUAGCAAUUUUUGUGUUUUAGUUUCACAGUUUUUGCACUGCCUCCUGCUGUCCCUUUUAGCGUUUGGGUUUUUUUUUUCUUUUUUGUUAGUCCGCCCAGUUAGGAUCAUUUUUCUGCUUGUAGUACUUGUGAGGGCAGGCUGACAACUUUUUCAUUCAUU